rnacentral:rRNA from 1 species
CCGAGGAUCUUGGGCAAUGCCCGAAAGGGUGACCCAGUGACGCCGCGUGGGGGAAGAAGCCCUUCGGGGUGUAAACCCCUGUUGGCGGGGGAAGAAGCCAACCCUUCGGGGUUGGUUGACGGUACCCCGCGAGAAAGCCCCGGCUAACUCCGUGCCAGCAGCCGCGGUAAAACGGAGGGGGCGAGCGUUGCCCGGAUUUACUGGGCUUAAAGGGUCCGUAGGCGGUGUCCCAAGUCCCUCGUGAAAGCUGCCCGCUCAACGGGCAGAGGUCGGGGGAGACUGGGACACUUGAGGGCGGGAGAGGCCAGCGGAACGGCGGGU